rfam:Streptococcus gordonii str. Challis substr. CH1, complete genome.
GCCGGGGUGGCGGAACUGGCAGACGCACAGGACUUAAAAUCCUGCGAUUGGAAACGAUCGUACCGGUUCGAUUCCGGUCCUCGGCA